rnacentral:rRNA from 1 species
UUACUCAUAAACGAAUGUAAUGGAAUGUAUAUAUCAAGGCCUCUGUGCCUAUAAUAAUUUUAUACAACUUUCAGCAACGGAUCUCUUGGCUCUCGCAUCGAUGAAGAACGCAGCGAAAUGCGAUAAGUAAUGUGAAUUGCAGAAUUCAGUGAAUCAUCGAAU